CCUACGGGGGGCAGCAGUGGGGGAUAUUGCACAAUGGGGGAAACCCUGAUGCAGCGACGCCGCGUGGGUGAAGAAGGGCCUCGGCGCGGAAAGCCCUGGCAGCAGGGAAGAAAAUGACGGUACCUGAAGAAGAAGCCCCGGCUAACGACGUGCCAGCAGCCGCGGUAAUACGUAGGGGGCAAGCGUUAUCCGGAUUUACUGGGUGUAAAGGGGGCGCAGCCGGCGAUGCCAGCCAGGAGUGAAAGCCCGGGGCCCAACCCCGGGACGGCUCUUGGAACUGCGUGGCUAGAGUGCAGGAGGGGCAGGCGGACUUCCUGGUGUAGCGGUGAAAUGCGUAGAUUUCCGGAGG
rnacentral:rRNA from 1 species